rnacentral:lncRNA from 1 species
AUGAUUUUUAUCAUUUUAUUUUUAUUUUUAUCUUUAUUUUAUUUUUAUUUAAUUAAAAUUCAUUGAUUGACGAAAUUUCAUCCUUAAAUGACAAUUCAUAUUUGAAUAACAAUUCAUCUCCAAAUUCAUUCAUGUUUAAAAAUUCACUUGUGAUUAAAUAUUCAUUCCAAUUUUUAUUUUAUUUAUUAUUAUUUUUUAAACCCUAACUUCUUCUUGCUAAAUUUAAUUUCAUCCAUCUAAAUUUCCGUCACCUUGCAAGUGUGAUGUCGUCGGAGAGGUAUGACAGCCGACCUACGUUCGGCGUGGAAGCCAAGAGCUGAACCGCACAGUAAUGUGCUCCUCCACCCUAUAUUCUCUUCCGCCAAGCAGAGACUCCUCUUCUAGACCUGUAGCUUGACUUGCUUACACCUCUGAGUCAACAACCUCAAUUUUUUUCCUAAUACCAUGAUCUCACCAUCUAGACCUUGCCAUGCUGAAAGUUUGAGCCCAAUCCACUUCUGAAUUCUUGGGAUGUGAAUCAUUCCAUGCUCCCUUGCUCUGUGCUUCAAAUGUAACGACGCUUUGUAAGCAGGAAUGUCGAAUUUAUUGUGGAUGAGCCCUACAAUGACUUUGUUGAACUUGAUUGUAUUUCCAACAACCCACUGGAAUGGCGAGAGUAGGAAUAUCUCAAAUUUAAACUCCAACAAUGGGAGUGAAUCAACAAAAAAACAAAUUAUCAACCACUGUUUAUCUUGACCAGCAGCACGCGGAGGAUAUAUGAACCACCUAGAGCUCCAAUUCUGCCACUACAAUUCUGAUUUAUUUUUAUUAAUUUAUGUGGACUAAUCGGGCAACAGGAACUGAUCACUCACAGAAAAUUUAACAAUCACAAUAUUCACUAACACUCUAGUUACAACUUGUAAGCACUGAUACACUCAAUCUUGGUCAGAUGGUAGUGGCACUGAAUCCUAGACAAGUCCGAAAUCUAAGCAACUCCGCAGUCGCCACCGCAACCCACAAUACAAGCCUUAUCACCUAGCACCUCUAUUGUCGCAACCACAUAAGGACUACGCAAGGAAGAAUACUGCAACAGUUCUCCACCCUUUAUUGCGCUCCU